AGAGGUAGAGAUAACAUGGAUGCUAUGUGUUAACAGAGAGAGAGGUAGAGAUAACAUGGAUGCUAUGUAUUAACAGAGAGAGGUAGAGAUAACAUGGAUGCUAUGUAUUAACAGAGAGAGGUAGAGAUAACAUGGAUGCUAUGUGUUAACAGAGAGAUAGGUAGAGAUAACAUGGAUGCUAUGUAUUAACAGAGAGAGGUAGAGAUAACAUGGAUGCUAUGUAUUAACAGAGAGAGGUAGAGAUAACAUGGAUGCUAUGUGUUAACAGAGAGAGAGGUAGAGAUAACAUGGAUGCUAUGUAUUAACAGAGAGAGGUAGAGAUAACAUGGAUGCUAUGUGUUAACAGAGAGAGAGGUAGAGAUAACAUGGAUGCUAUGUGUUAACAGAGAGAGAGGUAGAGAUAACAUGGAUGCUAUAUGUUAACAGAGAGAGAGGUAGAGAUAACAUGGAUGCUAUGUGUUAACACAGAGAGAGAGGUAGAGAUAACAUGGAUGCUAUGUGUUAACAGAGAGAGAGAGGUAGAGAUAACAUGGAUGCUAUGUGUUAACAGAGAGAGGUAGAGAUAACAUGGAUGCUAUGUGUUAACAGAGAGAGAGAGGUAGAGAUAACAUGGAUGCUAUAUGUUAACAGAGAGAGAGAGGUAGAGAUAACAUGGAUGCUAUGUGUUAACACAGAGAGAGGUAGAGAUAACAUGGAUGCUAUAUGUUAACAGAGAGAGAGGUAGAGAUAACAUGGAUGCUAUGUGUUAACAGAGAGAGAGGUAGAGAUAACAUGGAUGAUAUGUGUUAACAGAGAGAGAGGUAGAGAUAACAUGGAUGAUAUGUGUUAACAGAGAGAGAGGUAGAGAUAACAUGGAUGCUAUGUGUUAACAGAGAGAGGUAGAGAUAACAUGGAUGCUAUGUGUUAACAGAGAGAGAGAGGUAGAGAUAACAUGGAUGCUAUAUGUUAACAGAGAGAGAGAGGUAGAGAUAACAUGGAUGCUAUGUGUUAACAGAGAGAGGUAGAGAUAACAUGGAUGCUAUGUGUUAACAGAGAGAGGUAGAGAUAACAUGGAUGCUAUGUGUUAACAGAGAGAGAAAGAGGUAGAGAUAACAUGGAUGAUAUGUGUUAACAGAGAGAGAGGUAGAGAUAACAUGGAUGCUAUGUGUUAACAGAGAGAGAGGUAGAGAUAACAUGGAUGCUAUGUAUUAACAGAGAGAGAGGUAGAGAUAACAUGGAUGCUAUGUAUUAACAGAGAGAGAGGUAGAGAUAACAUGGAUGCUAUGUAUUAACAGAGAGAGAGGGAGGGAUAACAUGGAUGCUAUGUAUUAACAGAGAGAGAGAGAGGUAGAGAUAACAUGGAUGCUAUGUGUUAACAGAGAGAGGUA
rnacentral:lncRNA from 1 species